GGAGGCGGAGGACGGGGGCGAGGGGACGCAGCAGGUGGGGUCGUCGUGCAGGUGCGGUUACCUGCCCGCGCCUCACCUGCGAGCCGGGCCUGCGGGCAGGUGGCGCGGCCACAGAUGAGUGGCCGCUCUGCUGCUCCCUGUCUCCGGGAGAAAGGGACCGAACCCCCCGAGAGAACCUCUCCCGGGUGCCGGGGUCGUGCGGGGCAAGAGGAGUGGGCGGCCACGACGAGGCGGUCCCCUCUCCACCGCGGCGGUGUCGGCGCCACACCUGAGUAGUAAUGCAACCUGGAGGGAGAGGAGUUGAACCUGGCUGUCAUCCUGUUGAAUAGAAAGACUUUACUGGAGUCCUUCCCGUACAUGGGUGUGCUGGCCCAGCAUGAAAGAACUCUGUCCAGGAUGUCCCCUACUCUCACACCCAAAAGCUUAAAGCACAUUUCUCCUGAAGCACCUCACAGGACCCCCGCCACAUUACUUAUUACAUAUAUGUUUGCACAUCACUUUCAACUUGCAGUAGGUGUGGCAAAUAUUAACUGCAUAUUAUAAAUGUGAAAUGGACUUUGUAAGGGGAUAGUGGCUUGUCUAAGCAAAUCCCACAAGUUGGUGGCAUAUCUGGUACCCGAUGAGGCAGCUUUUUCUACAAAUAUAGUGCCUGGCUCCUUUUCCUAGGUGUGUUAUUUUAUAAAAGGCCCUAAGGAUUGAAAGAGUUGCCUUAAAGAUGAAAAGUAGAUAUGCUUGCAACAUGCUUAGUAGAGUGCAUGUCUCUUAUCAGGCCCCCAGACUUAAACAAGAGAAAAAGAAAUGUAUUUGAAUUUUUUUUGGACAUGCUUUAUUUUAUGGAUUUAAAAAAAAUAAUUCAUUUGGGGUUUUUUCUGAGCACUUAAUAUUCACUAGGCAUUGUGCCAGGCCCUGGGAAUAAAUCCAACAGUGAAGAGAGAAAAAAACCAUUUUUUCAUGAAGCGUACAUCCUAGAGGAGGGAGUACAGAUAAAAAGCAGAUGCAAGAUAAAAUGUCAUGUACUAAAUGCUAUGAGAAAAAUAAAGCAGUUGGAAAGGGCAAGGGGGUGGUUGGUGUGGGGUUUAAAUAGGCUGAUCCUUGGGUGGGGACUUGAGAAGACCUGAAUAUUAUUCUCACCUGAGUCUGAGUUCAAAGCUUUGACUUUAUGUGGGCAGUUUGACUCAAGUCAUGGUAUUCAUGUAGAAAAGACCUUAUAGAGUAACUAUUGAUUUUUUAAUUUUAUGUUAUAGAUCAUCCUUGAGGCUCUUUCCCAGAAUAAUACACACGUGCUCAUGUAUAACAUUUUAACAUGCCUUGGGAACAUUCUUAGAUCCCCUCAAGUUCAUACCCCUGGUCUACUUUAGUCCUUUCUUUUUAUGAAUAAGACAUUAAGAUUGAGAAAGCAAAAUAAAAAUUGUCCUCAGUGUCUCACUUAGUGGCUGAGCCAAGGACCUAAGAUCCCCAAAAAGUGACAUAUUGCUUUUUUCCACUAUAAUCUGUGUUGCUAGAGUGUUAAAUUCUCUAAAACAUUUGUAGUCUAUAAAGCAUCUUCUGCCUUUUUUUUGUAUACGCACCAUUUUUAUUUACAUAGAGUAAAACCUACAUACUAAAAAAAAAAACUGUGUAGUAAAACAAGUAAUUUCUGAAGCUAGUGUGGCUUCUUUUCCUAUUUCCUGAACAGUAGCAACACAAAUAACAUCUCAAGUAUCCGAAAUAUGCCUUAGGAAGGAGGACUCAGACUGGCAGCAGGAAAGGAAAAAGAAAAAAAAAAAGAUCUUGGAAUAGGAAGAUUUCUUAUAGAUGAAACUCUGGCCUGUCAUGGCUUUAAAGAGCAUGUGGGCACAGAUACUCCCUUUGAAGAUCUCUGAACCUGUAGAGAGCAGGGGGGCUGCAGAUGGGAAAGGUCUUGUCCCAGUUUCAACAGGGGCAGUGAGUCCCUAAGAUAAAACAACAGUCACCCCUACUCCCCACCCAGUGACUUCCUUUUGGGACAUUUUAUACAAAAACUUGGAAGAAACACUUGUCACUUUCAGGAAAGUAUUCAUUGUAUCAACUUAUCUUCUCAGCCACACUUCCUUAACAGAUGUCUCAACUUUUAGUAUUACAAAAUAACCGAAAGAUUUUAAUAGUACUCAUCCAUGCUGUGAAAGGAGUACAUGAUUUCCAGAAUUGGAGACUGUUAUGAAAACUUUGAUUUGCAUGCAAGAUUGUCUAAGAAAAUAUAUCUGAUUUUAAAACCUCAGAA